AGACUCUCUUGAACUUAGGGGCGUGUAUUGAUGCAAAAUGUCAUGAAAGUCUUACUCCUCUACAUCUUGCUGCAAAGAAUGGUCACUUUAGAAUUGUUCAACUCUUACUGUCAAAUGUUUUAAGCAUUGUUAAUGAUGUUGAUGAUUCUUCAAACACACCUCUUCAUCUUGCUGCAAUGGAAGGUCAUGUUAAAAUUGUUGAAAUGCUUAUUGAGGUUGGUUCAGCAGUUCAUACUAGAAAUGCGAAUCAAAUGACUCCAUUAGACUGUGCUUCUUAUCGUGGUUGGAACCAAUGUGCACAAUGUUUAUUAGAUGCUGACUCUAUUAUAAAUCCUUCUGAUAAGGUCA
rnacentral:lncRNA from 1 species